rnacentral:misc_RNA from 1 species
AUAGCUGAACCUUUCGCCAACACAUUUGAGACAACAUCUUGGGCUUUACUGAUAUAUACUUUCCCGUUCACCCUUCCAUUGCUAGGAGAAGUAGGUUUGGCCUCAGCAAGCGGAGAAGAACUUUCUCCAGCAACAUUCACAGCAUUAUCAACUAUCCUGACUUCCCGAGUCUCAGAUGAUGGAACAUAGUCUUCUGCCUGCUUUAUACUUACAAUCUGAUCCACUAUGGUUGCUCCCGACAACAACAAAGCAAUUUCAAGCGCUUUCGGAUCUUUAAAUGUAACAAAGGCAGUCUUGGAUUGUCCUUGUUCUCGGCGAAUCUCAAUGUGGUCAAUCUCGCCGGAAAACGAGAAGAACUCGCGAACCUCUCUCUCAGCUGCCAGAUCUGAUACAUUACCCACUCGUACUGUUCUUACCUCCUGCAUUAUUGAGUUUGAAAUCCGUAUCUCUCAGCUUUGUUUUGCUGUGAGCCUGAGUGGAAGAGGAGAA